CUUGGUUUGCCUGCCAGGACUCAUUUGCCACCCUGUGUCUGCAAGUGGAUGACAAGCAGCAGUGGAGCCCUGCUUCCAUGUUACAGCAGCUUUGCAGGAACCAUGUAUUCUAGCAAAAAAGAAAUAAUUUGGACAGACACAUAUGGAUUGAUGUGUCUGUUGUAUAUCUGUAUAAAGAUUAGGUUCUGCUUGGCUGCUAUUAACCAUAAGGUACAGUUCUCCCGUUUGAAGACAACACGAUGUGGGAAAUAUUGCAGAAUGAGGGUCAUUGCAUCAAACGAAAGCAAAAAGUAGAAGAGUUCACAUUAUGUCUUCGUCUUACCUUCCCAUUACAAAAUCCAACACACUACAGCCAAGUGUCCUGGUAUUCAACUGAACCCUUUUCUCUGGAAUCGACCAAACCGCUGGGUUACUUUUCCUCCCAUACACCAGCACCCCAGGACUGCAGUGGACUCAGCAAGUUGCACUUCUUGUGCAUACUACAUGAUUAGGAAGAAUUGAUGUAUGGAAGU